GCCUACGGGGGGCAGCAGUGAGGAAUAUUGGUCAAUGGGAGAGAUCCUGAACCAGCCAAGCCGCGUGAGGGAAGACGGCCCUAUGGGUUGUAAACCUCUUUUGCCGGGGAGCAAGGGCGGGGACGUGUCCCGGCCCGGAGAGUACCCGGAGAAAAAGCAUCGGCUAACUCCGUGCCAGCAGCCGCGGUAAUACGGAGGAUGCGAGCGUUAUCCGGAUUUAUUGGGUUUAAAGGGUGCGUAGGCGGGCUUUUAAGUCAGCGGUAAAAAUUCGGGGCUCAACCCCGUCCGGCCGUUGAAACUGGGGG
rnacentral:rRNA from 1 species